rnacentral:rRNA from 1 species
CCGGUACCUAGUUCGGAUUGUAGGCUGCAACUCGCCUACAUGAAGUCGGAGUUGCUAGUAAUCGCGGAUCAGAAUGCCGCGGUGAAUGCGUUCCCGGGUCUUGUACACACCGCCCGUCACACCAUGGAAGUUGGGGGCGCCCGAAGUUGGUCGAGGAAUAGAUUACCUAAGGCGAAACCAAUGACUGGGGUGAAGUCGUAACAAGGUAGC